rnacentral:rRNA from 1 species
GACGAACGCUGGCGGCGUGCUUAACACAUGCAAGUCGAACGGAAAGGCCCUGCUUUUGUGGGGUGCUCGAGUGGCGAACGGGUGAGUAACACGUGAGUAACCUGCCCUUGACUUUGGGAUAACUUCAGGAAACUGGGGCUAAUACCGGAUAGGAGCUCCUGCUGCAUGGUGGGGGUUGGAAAGUUUCGGCGGUUGGGGAUGGACUCGCGGCUUAUCAGCUUGUUGGUGGGGUAGUGGCUUACCAGGGCUUUGACGGGUAGCCGGCCUGAGAGGGUGACCGGCCACAUUGGGACUGAGAUACGGCCCAGACGCCUACGGGAGGCAGCAGUGGAGAAUAUUGCACAAUGGGCGGAAGCCUGAUGCAGCAACGCCGCGUGCGGGAUGACGGCCUUCGGGUUGUAAACCGCUUUCGCCUGUGACGAAGCGUGAGUGACGGUAAUGGGUAAAGAAGCACCGGCUAACUACGUG